AUGACCUUCAUCAUCAUCUUCAUCUGGACUCUCACAGCGUUUGCUCAAGAGAGUAGAGGACAGAUCAGCGUCACUCAGAGUCCCUCAACAGCAGCUCAACCAGGAGAAACAGUGAAGAUCAGCUGUAAAACCAGCAAAGAUGUGUACAUAUUCCUAGGUCAAUAUCAUUGUUUGGCCUGGUACUUACAAAAACCUGGAGAAGCUCCUAAACUCCUGAUUUAUUAUGCAAACACUCUUGAGUCAGGAACUCCAUCUAGAUUCAGUGGCAGUGGAUCUAACAGUGAUUUCACUCUGACCAUCAGUGGAGUCCAGACUGAAGAUGCUGGACAUUAUUACUGUCAGAGUUAUCACUGCAGAACAGAUUCUGAUGGUGAUUGUGUGGGUGACUAUGUGUUCACACAGUGAUAAAGCGUGGUACAAAAACCUGUGUCAGUCAGAGUCACAGUGACUGAACUGAUGCUGCAGCUGCUCAAACACUAUCACUCACUACUGACACACAGAGACCAAACACACAACUACACAUGAGCUCACAACUGAGUCAGGAGUCACAUCAGCUCUAUUAGACUGGGAUCUGUCCUGUGACAGACGGGUUUGAAUCGACUAUACUCAGAUUCAGAGAAAACAGAGAGAUAAACUGAUAUCAAAGCAAACAAUUAUAUUGCAAUAUCUUGUUU